rnacentral:misc_RNA from 1 species
GCUGUGGCAAGCAGUCUGAGGCCGUACCUGCUUGUAUCUUUUACCUCUGUAUCUCACUCUCUUAUUUUUUUUAUCAGAACACUGGAAAAUAUAUAUAUUUGUUUCCCAUUUGUCUCUUUCACGAUCAGAAUCAGCAGACGCAUACAAAGCUUGCCUAGUCAAAGUUCAAACAUAUCUGCCACCCACUAAUACGUCUCUUAAUUUCUUCCCUCUAACAAGCCCCCAUCUUUCUAUCUGUUUCUCAAAGACUUGAACUUGUUUCAGUUCAUGGAGAGACCACAGUCAGAGCAUGGAGGAAGGAGGAGGAGACUGGCAAGAAGAAGAGAAAUAGUGCAGAUUCAGUGUUCCCCCAGGCCCAUGUUACCGGUACCACCCAUGAUGCGGCCAACACCCAAUCAGGCAAAGCUAGCUGCAAUUGCCGUUGAUUUAAACAUACGGCUGAGAUCGGCCGAUAUGCCAGGUGCCAUGCAGGAGCGGGCGUUUCGGUGCACCAGAGCAGUCCUUGACGCAAAUCUCGAGAAGAAACCCAAUCCUACUCAUGUUGCCAUGUGUCUCAAGAAGGAGUUUGAUGCAGUGUAUGGGCCGGCAUGGCACUGCGUUGUGGGUCAGAGUUUUGGAUCAUUCGUUACUCACUCGAGUGGUGGAUUUGUGUAUUUCUCCGUGGACAAGCUCUCUUUUCUUCUCUUCAAGACAGAGGUCCGACCAGUCAGGAGUUCUCUUCCUCCUCCUCCUCCUCUUCUGUUGAAGCUUAAUAUUAAUGCUUAGAUUGAAGUUUAUACUAAUGUAAUGUGUAUUUGAUUUACAUCUGAUAUGGGAACUAAUCUGCAUUGGCAUGGAAAAUCGUACUCGUAUUAGAGGGUUUUGAGGAUGUAGGAAUUAAUUUGUUUCUCUUCAGAUUUGCUGCCAGGUUUUCGAAGAGACUAGCCUAGUCAUUUGGCCAAUCAAGUAUUGUAUUUGACUAGUAAUUGCCUUAGUACGAAGGUACUCACACAUGAAACUGAAACCUGCAUGUGAUUUCACUGCAAAUUACUUUCACAUGGUCCCCAUAGAGAAUUACCAAAACCAUCCGAAAGAAAACAGAAACUUUUUUUUUUGCGCCUCUUUGACAAGAAAAGGAAAUUGGAAAAGAAAUGUACCUCUAUUUUGGCUGAAGAAGAGAGAUACAUAGCUAUGCUUCGUAGGGCAAGGUGAGAGGACAAACUGUUGUAAUCUGAUAUUAAGCAAAAGAUUUUUACAGAUAUGCUUGACUAGUUGACUGACUAUUCAAAACAGAUGAAUUAA